rnacentral:rRNA from 1 species
UGGGGAAUUGUUCGCAAUGGGCGCAAGCCUGACGACGCAACGCCGCGUGGAGGAUGAAGAUCUUCGGGUCGUAAACUCCUUUCGAUCGGGAAGAACGUUUCGGGGGUUAAUAGCCUCUGGAAGUGACGGUACCGAGAGAAGAAGCCCCGGCUACCUCUGUGCCAGCAGCUGCGGUAAUACAGGGGAGGCAAGCGUUGUUCGGAAUUACUGGGCGUAAAGGGCCAGUAGGCGGCCAACUAAGUCACACGUGAAAUCCCCAGGCUUAACCUGGGAACUGCGUGUGAUACUGGAUGGCUUGAAUUCGGGAGAGGGAUGCAGAAUUCCAGGUGUAGCGGUGAAAUGCGUAGAUAUCUGGAGGAAUACCGGUGGCGAAGGCGGCAUCCUGGACCGACAUUGACGCUGAACGGCGAAAGCUAGGGGAGCAAAC